rnacentral:rRNA from 1 species
CCUACGGUAGGCAGCAGUGGGGAAUAUUGCACAAUGGGCGCAAGCCUGAUGCAGCCAUGCCGCGUGUGUGAAGAAGGCCUUCGGGUUGUAAAGCACUUUCAGCGGGGAGGAAGGCGUUAAGGUUAAUAACCUUGGCGAUUGACGUUACCCGCAGAAGAAGCACCGGCUAACUCCGUGCCAGCAGCCGCGGUAAUACGGAGGGUGCAAGCGUUAAUCGGAAUUACUGGGCGUAAAGCGCACGCAGGCGGUCUGUCAAGUCGGAUGUGAAAUCCCCGGGCUCAACCUGGGAACUGCAUUCGAAACUGGCAGGCUAGAGUCUUGUAGAGGGGGGUAGAAUUCCAAGUGUAGCGGUGAAAUGCGUAGAGAUCUGGAGGAAUACCGGUGGCGAAGGCGGCCCCCUGGACAAAGACUGACGCUCAGGUGCGAAAGCGUGGGGAGCAAACAGGAUUAGAUACCCCGGUAGUC